CUCAGAGAGCGAGCUUUGUUCAAAAGCCGCUGACUGAGGGGUAACGUGGAGGUCUGGCGCCUUGGGAUCUCCUUCCAUCUGUCGAGAUGACCAUGACUAAUUGGACUUCUGCCCUGUGGGGUUAAGCAGACCAAAAGGAACUGCUACUUACACUUGGCUGCCCUGGUGAUAUUUGAAGACAGCUAUCAUGGCCACAGAAGUCUUCUCUUCUCCAGACCAAACACCCCAAGUUUCAUCAGGUGCUUCUCAUAAACCUCCCCUUCUCUGGUUUAUCAAUAUCCUUCUUCCCCAGUGAGAACCAGACCUGAAAAUGGGACUCCAUGUUCACUCUGACCGGGGCUGAUUAAAGUAGAACGAUUACUUUCUUCAUUCUCUUCUUAUUUUGCCACCUAUUGUUUUCCCUCUUGACGGUCCCAUCGCACCGUUGUUGUUGGAUUGCUGUUGUAAGUUCUAAAGUUGUAAAUUGAAAAAAAAAAUCAAUGAGUUCAAUAAAGAUCUGGAUAAACUCCUGGAUGAGACAGCUACAA